GAUGAACGCUAGCGGCAGGCUUAAUACAUGCAAGUCGAACGGUAAGGUCUCUUCGGAGAUACACGAGUGGCGCACGGGUGCGUAACGCGUAUGCAACCUACCUUUAACUGGGAAAUAGCCCCGAGAAAUCGGGAUUAAUGUCCCAUAUUAUUCUCUGAAUGCAUAUUUGGGGAAUGAAAGCUCCGGCGGUUAUUGAUGGGCAUGCGUGACAUUAGCUAGUUGGUGAGGUAACGGCUCACCAAGGCUGCGAUGUCUAGGGGUUCUGAGAGGAUUCACCCCCACACUGGUACUGAGACACGGACCAGACUCCUACGGGAGGCUG
rnacentral:rRNA from 1 species